AGGAACUCUGUUGCUUGGAGACCUGCAUCUUUCUAGCUGUGCUCAGAACAGACAUGAAGCAACAGAUCAACUUGCUUUCAACAGUUCAAAAUCAAAGUAAGGCUGUCCCAAGCGGGCAUGAAAAUUGUGUCAUUCAAACAACAUGUGAACUCCAAUUACGACUCUACAAGUGAUAUCCUUUACUCCUGUAAUCUGCAGGCCUUUUCACAGUUUGGACAACUUCCGAG